UACGUAGGUGGCAAGCGUUGUCCGGAUUUACUGGGCGUAAAGGGCGUGCAGGCGGUCUGUUAAGUGCAGGGUGAAAGCUCCCGGCUCAACUGGGAGAGGUCCUUGCAUACUGGCGGACUUGAGGGGGGUAGAGGAGAAUGGAAUUCCCGGUGUAGCGGUGAAAUGCGCAGAUAUCGGGAGGAACACCGGUGGCGAAGGCGGUUCUCUGGGCCUUACCUGACGCUGAGGAGCGAAAGCGUGGGGAGCGAACAGG
rnacentral:rRNA from 1 species